UACGUAUGGUGCAAGCGUUGUCCGGAAUUAUUGGGCGUAAAGAGCUCGUAGGCGGUUCGUCGCGUCGGCUGUGAAAACCCGGAGCUCAACUCCGGGCCUGCAGUCGAUACGGGCGGACUAGAGUUCGGCAGGGGAGACUGGAAUUCCUGGUGUAGCGGUGAAAUGCGCAGAUAUCAGGAGGAACACCGGUGGCGAAGGCGGGUCUCUGGGCCGAUACUGACGCUGAGGAGCGAAAGCGUGGGGAGCGAACAGG
rnacentral:rRNA from 1 species